GCAUAUCAAUAAGCGGAGGAAAAGAAACCAACAGGGAUUGCCUCAGUAACGGCGAGUGAAGCGGCAAAAGCUCAGAUUUUAAAUCUAGUGUCUUUUGGACAUUCGAGUUGUAAUCUGUAGAGAAGUGUUCGAGGAGUGUCUUGGCUCAAGUUCCUUGGAAUAGGAUAUCAUGGAGGGUGAGAAUCCCGUGAAUGGCCUUGAAUGUGACUUCUUAUUGUGAACCUUCUUCAGCGAGUCGAGUUGUUUGGGAAUGCAGCUCUAAAUGGGUGGUAAAUUUCAUCUAAAGCUAAAUACGGGCAGGAGACCGAUAGCGCACAAGUAGAGUGAUCGAAAGAUGAAAAGAACUUUGGAAAGAGAGUUAAAGAGUACGUGAAAUUGUUGAAAGGGAAGCACUUGCUCCCAGACUUGCCUGUAGCUAAUCAACCAUCAUUUGUUUUUCUUUUGUUGGUGCACUUGGUUAUUUUGGGCAGGCCAGCAUCAGUUUAGACAGAGGGAAAAGGCCUAGGGGAAUGUGACUCGCUCAUUUGAGAGAGUGUUAUAGCCUCUGGUGUGUAAUAUCUCUAGUCCUGGACUGAGGACCGCGCUUUUGCAAAAGGGUGAGGAUGCUGGCAUAAUGGUCGUAAGUGACCCGUCUUGAAACACGGACCAAGGAGUCUAACAGCUGUGCGAGUGUUUGGGUGAUUAAACCCUUGCGCGGAAUGAAAGUGAAUGGAGGUGGGAACCUGUAAAAGGGCGCACCAUCGACCGAUCCUGAAGUCUUCUGAUGGAUUUGAGUAGGAGCAUGGCUGUUGGGACCCGAAAGAUGGUGAACUAUGCCUGAAUAGGGUGAAGCCAGAGGAAACUCUGGUGGAGGCUCGCAGCGGUUCUGACGUGCAAAUCGAUCGUCAAAUUUGGGUAUAGGGGCGAAAGACUAAUCGAACCAUCUAG
rnacentral:rRNA from 2 species